AACCUGCCCAUCAGAAGGGGAUAACACUUGGAAACAGGUGCUAAUACCGUAUAACAAUCGAAACCGCAUGGUUUCGUUUUGAAAGGCGCUUUACGGUGCCGCUGAUGGAUGGACCCGCGGUGCAUUAGCUAGUUGGUGAGGUAACGGCUCACCAAGGCCACGAUGCAUAGCCGACCUGAGAGGGUGAUCGGCCACAUUGGGACUGAGACACGGCCCAAACUCCUACGGGAGGCAGCAGUAGGGAAUCUUCGGCAAUGGACGAAAGUCUGACCGAGCAACGCCGCGUGAGUGAAGAAGGUUUUCGGAUCGUAAAACUCUGUUGUUAGAGAAGAACAAGGGUGAGAGUAACUGUUCACCCCUUGACGGUAUCUAACCAGAAAGCCACGGCUAACUACGUGCCAGCAGCCGCGGUAAUACGUAGGUGGCAAGCGUUGUCCGGAUUUAUUGGGCGUAAAGCGAGCGCAGGCGGUUUCUUUAAGUCUGAUGUGAAAGCCCCCGGCUCAACCGGGGAGGGUCAUUGGAAACUGGGA
rnacentral:rRNA from 1 species